GGUCUGGUAGAAUAACGGUUAAUGCCCCUGCUCUCCUUAAGUGGGAUAUCAUCCAUUUCUGCAGGCGAUCCAGGUUCAACUCCGGGUCAGGCCA